ACUCCUACGGGAGGCAGCAGUGGGGAAUAUUGGACAAUGGGGGCAACCCUGAUCCAGCAAUACCGCGUGUGUGAAGAAGGCCUGAGGGUUGUAAAGCACUUUCGGCGAGGAGGAAGUUAAUAUAGUUAAUAGCUAUGUUGAUUGACGUUACUCGCAGAAGAAGCACCGGCUAACUCUGUGCCAGCAGCCGCGGUAAUACGGAGGGUGCGAGCGUUAAUCGGAAUUACUGGGCGUAAAGCGUGCGUAGGCGGCUUGGUAAGCCGGUUGUGAAAGCCCCGGGCUCAACCUGGGAACGGCAUCCGGAACUGUCAGGCUAGAGUGCAGGAGAGGAAGGUAGAAUUCCCGGUGUAGCGGUGAAAUGCGUAGAGAUCGGGAGGAAUACCAGUGGCGAAGGCGGCCUUCUGGACUGACACUGACGCUGAGGUACGAAAGCGUGGGUAGCAAACAGGAUUAGAUACCCUGGUAGGCUCUGC
rnacentral:rRNA from 1 species